rnacentral:rRNA from 1 species
CCAGACUCCUACGGGAGGCAGCAGUAGGGAAUCUUCGGCAAUGGACGAAAGUCUGACCGAGCAACGCCGCGUGAGUGAAGAAGGUUUUCGGAUCGUAAAACUCUGUUGUUAGAGAAGAACAAGGACGUUAGUAACUGAACGUCCCCUGACGGUAUCUAACCAGAAAGCCACGGCUAACUACGUGCCAGCAGCCGCGGUAAUACGUAGGUGGCAAGCGUUGUCCGGAUUUAUUGGGCGUAAAGCGAGCGCAGGCGGUUUCUUAAGUCUGAUGUGAAAGCCCCCGGCUCAACCGGGGAGGGUCAUUGGAAACUGGGAGACUUGAGUGCAGAAGAGGAGAGUGGAAUUCCAUGUGUAGCGGUGAAAUGCGUAGAUAUAUGGAGGAACACCAGUGGCGAAGGCGGCUCUCUGGUCUGUAACUGACGCUGAGGCUCGAAAGCGUGGGGAGCAAACAGGAUUAGAUACCCCAGUA